rnacentral:rRNA from 1 species
CAAGUCGAAUGGCAGCACAGUGUGUAGCAAUACACAUGGGUGGCGAAUGGCGGACGGGUGAGUAAUACGUAAGGAUCUGCCCAGAAGAGGGGGACAACCCGGGGAAACUCGGGCUAAUACCGCAUACUACUCUGAGGAGGAAAGGCUGGAGUAAUCCAGUCACUUUUGGAGGAACUUACGACUGAUUAGCUAGUUGGUGGGGUAAAGGCCUACCAAGGCGAUGAUCGGUAGCUGGUCUGAGAGGAUGAUCAGCCACACUGGGACUGAGACACGGCCCAGACUCCUACGGGAGGCAGCAGUGGGGAAUAUUGGACAAUGGGGGCAACCCUGAUCCAGCGAUGCCGCGUGUGUGAAGAAGGCCUUCGGGUUGUAAAGCACUUUAGGAUGGGAAGAAGGGGUGACGGUUAAUAGUCGUCAUUUUUGACUGUACCAUAAGAAUAAGCACCGGCUAACUCUGUGCCAGCAGCCGCGGUAAUACAGAGGGUGCAAGCGUUAAUCGGAGUUACUGGGCGUAAAGGGCGCGUAGGUGGUUGUGCAAGUAAGGUGUGAAAUCCCUGGGCUUAACCUAGGAAUUGCACUUUAAACUGCAUGGCUAGAGUGCGGUAGAGGGUAGUGGAAUUUCCGGUGUAGCGGUGAAAUGCGUAGAGAUCGGAAGGAACACCAGUGGCGAAGGCGACUACCUGGACCGCAACUGACACUGAGGCGCGAAAGCGUGGGUAGCAAACAGGAUUAGAUACCCUGGUAGUCCACGCUGUAAACGAUGAGAACUAGAUGUUGGUCUGCGCGAGCGGAUUAGUAUCGAAGCUAACGCGAUAAGUUCUCCGCCUGGGGAGUACGGCCGCAAGGUUAAACUCAAAGGAAUUGACGGGG